rnacentral:rRNA from 1 species
AAAAGGUUUGGUCCUAGCCUUAUUAUCAGUUUUUUCUUGAAUUACACAUGCAAGUCUCAGCACACCCGUGAGGAUACCCUUAUACCCUUAACCAGGCCAAGGAGAUGGCAUCAGGCACAACACCUGCCCACAACGCCUAGUCCCACCACACCCCCAAGGGCACUCAGCAGUGAUAAAUAUUGCUCAUAAGCUAUAGCUUGAAUCAGUUAAAGAAAGUAGAGCCGGCCAACUCGGUGCCAGCCGCCGCGGCUAAACCGCACGGACUCAAAUUGAUAGUUGUCGGCGUUAAGCGUGAUUAAAGUUCCUCUCAAUUAGAAUAAAACCUACCCUUAGCUGUGAAAAGCUUGAUGCUAGAGAAAACCAUAAACGAAAGUUAUUCUAAUAAUUACUUGAAUACACGACAGCUGGA